CCAGCCAAGGACCUCUGUCCUCUAUCAGGGCCGCCAUUAAGAAAACGACGACUAGAGCCACUUCUCUGAGCGAGAGUAACCCCAGAGAUCGAAGGCGUCCAGAGAUCACCAUCCUUUCAGCAGAGCCACUGGUGUCUAAUACCUGGUUCCCCGGGGCUUCUGGGG